AUUGAACGCUGGCGGCAGGCCUAACACAUGCAAGUCGAACGAGUGGCGGACGGGUGAGUAAUGUCUGGGAAACUGCCGGAUGGAGGGGGAUAACUACUGGAAGCGGUAGCUAAUACCGCAUACCAUCAGAUGUGCCCAGAUGGGAUUAGCUUGUUGGUGGGGUAACGGCUCACCUAGGCGACGCUCCCGAGCUGGUCUGAGAGGAUGACCGGCCACACUGGAACUGAGAGACGGUCCAGACGCCUACGGGAGGCAGCAGGGGGGAAGAUGUCAUGAUGGGCGCAAGCCGGAUGCAGCCAUGCCGCGUGUGUGAAGAAGGCCUUUGGGUUGUAAAGUACUUUCAGCGGGGAGGCGUUACCCUCAGAAGAAGCACCGGCUAACUCCGUGCCAGCCGCCGCGGUAAUAC
rnacentral:rRNA from 1 species